CCCCUCUCUAAGGUUGAUUCACUGGGCAACACUCUCUGCUCUCUCUUCUCUCCUAUUUCUUCCUUCUCUUCUUUCUUUUCUCUCUACUGCUGGCUCUCUUUCUUUUUGCGUUUCUCUUCUCAUUUUUUUUUAUCUUAGCAGAGGAGUGAAGGUGCCUAUUUAUGGCUGAAAUCUUGAACUGUGGACUGCACCUGUGGAUGUGCAGUUCUUCAUCAUGUGAGUGGAGGGAAUGAGAUAAACUCUCAUGUAACACGGAUAACACUUUUUGCUAUUACCGGCCAAUAAUGCAAUGACACGUAUGAUAAUUUUUCCACAUGUAACGUGGAUAACACUUUUUGCUAUCCCCGGCCAAUAAUGCAAUGACACGCAUGAUAAUUUUUCCACAUGUCAUUGUGUUUUUGAUUGGCAGACAAACCAUCCCCCAAAGUCUUCACUGGUGGGCUCCAUCACUUUACAACAAUUGGUAUUUGGUACAAAUUGAGACCAAAGUCAACAAACCCCACACGGACUCAACCAUUAGAAUAGUUUCAGUUUGGUCAAAGAAUGGACUUACCGAACUGUUCUUUACCUUGAGCUUUCCGUCUAAAGAAAUCCAUAUCUUGUCAUGUGUAAUCUAAAUUCUGCUACUACAGAACAUUUGGGAGUUUGUUGAAUGCUUUUUAUAAUUCCAUUGUAAUAUAUCUCCUGAUUAAUGUCGAUUGGUGUAGUGAUAGCAGUUUUUGCCAUAGGUUUGGGAGUCCUCUUAGUGAAGAUCGUUAUAGUGGUUCUCG